GGGGAAUAUUGCACAAUGGAGGAAACUCUGAUGCAGCGAUGCCGCGUGAGGGAAGAAGGUUUUAGGAUUGUAAACCUCUGUCUUCAGGGACGAAAAAAGGACGGUACCUGAGGAGGAAGCUCCGGCUAACUACGUGCCAGCAGCCGCGGUAAUACGUAGGGAGCGAGCGUUGUCCGGAAUUACUGGGUGUAAAGGGAGCGUAGGCGGGAUCGCAAGUCAGAUGUGAAAACUAUGGGCUUAACCCAUAAACUGCAUUUGAAACUGUGGUUCUUGAGUGAAGUAGAGGUAAGCGGAAUUCCUAGUGUAGCGGUGAAAUGCGUAGAUAUUAGGAGGAACAUCAGUGGCGAAGGCGGCUUACUGGGCUUUAACUGACGCUGAGGCUCGAAAGCGUGGGGAGCAAACAGGAUUAGAUACCCUGGUAGUCCACGCCGUAAACGAUGAUUACUAGGUGUGGGGGGACUGACCCCUUCCGUGCCGCAGCAAACGCAAUAAGUAAUCCACCUGGGGAGUACGACCGCAAGGUUGAAACUCAAAGGAAUUGACGGGGGCCCGCACAAGCAGUGGAGUAUGUGGAUUAAUUCGAAGCAACGCGAAGAACCUUACCAGGUCUUGACAUCGUAUGCAUAGCUCAGAGAUGAGUGAAAUCUCUUCGGAGACAUAUAGACAGGUGGUGCAUGGUUGUCGUCAGCUCGUGUCGUGAGAUGUUGGGUUAAGUCCCGCAACGAGCGCAACCCUUACUGUUAGUUGCUACGCAAGAGCACUCUAGCAGGACUGCCGUUGACAAAACGGAGGAAGGUGGGGAUGACGUCAAAUCAUCAUGCCCCUUAUGACCUGGGCCUCACACGUACUACAAUGGCUGUAAACAGAGGGAAGCAAAGCCGCGAGGUAGAGCGAACCCCUAAAAGCAGUCUUAGUUCGGAUUGUAGGCUGCAACCCGCCUACAUGAAGUCGGAAUUGCUAGUAAUCGCAGAUCAGCAUGCUGCGGUGAAUACGUUCCCG
rnacentral:rRNA from 2 species